AACGCCCCAGGCGUUAUCCGCCGAAACGCCUGCCGAGGUGGCGGAUAACCGCGUAGCGGUUAUUCGCCCUACACGGG
rnacentral:sRNA from 1 species